CUAGCAUUUUUCGGCGGAUGUCGGUUAGCUUGUAAAAGAAUGUAAACAUUUUGAAUUUAGAAUCUCAUCUGGGAACAUCUUUUGUCAUUCAUUGACAUAACAUUUAUCUUUACUUUAAAUAAGAAAUAUGAUUAUCUAAGUCACUGCACUAACAAGAGAGAGAAAAGUUCGAAGGCGUCGGUGCGAAAGUCUAGAGUACCACAUACUCUGACGAGUAAAGGGAAUACAAGACUAGAAAUUUAACUUUACCUGUAUAAUGUGAAUGAAUGAACACUGGUUUCAUAGUCAUUAAAGGGAAGAAAUUUGAACUUACAACUUAGUUAUCAAUUAUUUUGAUACAUAAGUAAAACCCCAAAAGUUACAAUGGAGCCCCCAGUGAGGAUCGAACUCACGACCCCUGUUUACAAUGGAGCCCCCAGUGAUAUAAAAUAGACUAAUUGUUAGAUAACAACAACCGUGACUUGUGAAAACCAGUGAGUUAACAGAUAGUAUUUGAAUUCAGUAAACAAUUUAUUUAAGUUAACAGUCUCAGUAAUCUGGACAAUAUUUUUAGCAUUAUAUAUUUAUACUCAGUGACACUGGAAUAGGCAGUGAAUUGUAAUUAUCACAGCCGUGACUUAUUGUGUUUUAACCUGUGAAUUUCAUCUACUUUGUGUACAUGUAAGUGCCAUUUUGAAAUGGACUCGAAGAGACUUGCUUUUAACUUAGUUUUAAUAAAGUUUACGUAUAAAACUUUAAUCAAUAAAUCAGUGAUAUAUAACCAGUUCAGUGGUAUCAGACGUUAACACAUCUCACUUCAAGAUCGUCGCAGCAAAACGUGUUGGCGACUUCAAGAUCAUCAAACGAUCACAUUUGCCUCUUUCUUCUAGAGUGAACGUUACAUACUUCAAUCUUAAAGAUCGAGCAUUCACCUCAAACAUUCACACUUAUCUCGACAACCUAGGUAUUUCGUGCUUCAAGACCGUUUCUUCAAAGCAGAUGUCUUGACAUUUAUUCUUCAAGACCGUUACAUCAAACAGACUUCUAGACUACUCCUGCCUUAUUGUGUUGAACAAUUAACUGUGCAAACAGUGACAAUAGCCUAUACCGUGUAUGCCAGACCCAGAGCCAUAGUUAGGUGGUGAAUACAGAACCCGGUAAUUUCCUGCUGUAAGUAUUUUCAUUUGGAAUGAAAUGGUGUAUUAUUCAAUAGUUUUUAUUUGAAUUUACAGGUACUUUGAAUUUAAUUACAGCUGAUGUCACAGUUGCAGAUAUGUUUUUGCAUUGCAUAUACAUAUUAUUGAUGUGAUUUAUUACACAUUAUUUCUCUGAGAUAAUUUUCCGGGGUAUUAUUUGAAAUCAUUUGCUUCAUUAUAUAGGUAUCAUUUGAAAUAAAAAUAA